rnacentral:rRNA from 1 species
UACGUAGGCAGCAAGCGUUGUUCGGAAUUACUGGGCGUAAAGAGUACGUAGGUGGUUUGCUAAGUCCGAUGUGAAAUCUCCUGGCUUAACUGGGAGGGUGCGUUAGAUACUGGCAGGCUUGAAUGUGGGAGAGGAGAGCGGAAUUCCUGGUGUAGCGGUGAAAUGCGUAGAUAUCAGGAGGAACGCCUGUGGUGUAGACGGCUCUCUGGACCAUUAUUGACACUGAGGUACGAAAGCGUGGGUAGCAAACAGG